rnacentral:lncRNA from 1 species
UCAAAGGGGGUUGAAGUUACAGUGGAAUGCAGAGGCUGAUCUAAGAGAGUCAAACAGGGCACAGAAGGUUGGUUUUAUUGUGCUAGGAGGAAUAGGUAGGCACAUGGUAGACAUCCCAUAAGCACUGGCUGAAUGAGUGAAUAAAUCAUGAACACAACGUGUUUUAUUUACUCAGUCAUCCAGUGCUUAUGGGAUGCCUAUUAUGUGCCAGGUGGCAUGCUCAGAGAAAGUUCACUUUCCAGUUGUGUUAGGAAGUAAGGAAGCCCAGGAAACAAGAUAGUCAAGAUUUUGUGAUAUCUCAGUGACUUAAAGAUUCACUUCUUCCCUAAAUAUUAAAGAACUGGAAAGAGCUACACGGGUGGCUGGAUAACUGGGUAAACUGAAAAAGAAGCAUUUGGUGGUAGGGGUAUACCCUGUCUUGGGUUACUAGGUCUGUGGUUAUGAAAUACCACAGUGAGUGGUUUAAACAAGUUUAUUGUCUCAGUUCUGGAGACUAAAAGUCCAAAAUCAAGGUGUCAGCAGGGUGCGCUCCUUCUGAAUGUGUGAAGGAAAGAGCUGUUCCAGGCUUCUCUCCUUGUUGGCUGGUGUGAUGGUUAAUAUUGAGUGUCAACUUGAUUAGAUUGAAGGAUGCAAGGUAUUGUUCCUAGGUGUGUUUGUGAGAGUGUUGACAAAGGAGAUUAACAUCUGAGUUGGUGGAGUGGGAGAGGCAGAUCCACCCUCAGUCUGGGUGGGCACCAUCUAAUCACAGCUGCUAGCAUAAAAGCAGGCAUGGAAAAAGCAGACUUGCUGAGUCUCUGGCCUCCAUCUUUCUCCCAUGUUGGAUGCUUCCUGCCCUCGAACAUCAGACUCCAAGUUCUUCAGCUUUUGGACUCUCGGACCUACACAAGUGACUUGCCAGGGGCUCUUGGGCCUUCAGCCACAGACUAAAGGCUGCCCUAUCAGCUUCCCUACUUUUGAGGUUUGGGGAUUUGGACUGGUUUCCUGGCUCCUCAGCUUGCAGACGGACUACUGUGGGACUUCACCUUGUGAUCAUGAAUUUCUUCUCACCAGGACAGUGCAUGCUGCGGCACUCCAUGAUGGUACCUCAUCCCUGCCUCUGAUGCCCAGUGCCAAUCACCCUUCUGCCGGCACAGUUACAACCUCGACUGCGUAGUUGACACAAUGCAACCCUCCAAGUUCCAGAAUGAUGCUUCUUUUCUAGGAGCUCCCAGAGAGCCAAAGCCUUGAGUGUCCCACACAGAACAGAUUCCCUCUCCCCAGCCUGGCAUCCCUCUUGGUCAUCCCAGCACCAAGAGGACUGUCUGAGCACCAAUGUCUCAAGAAGACUUUUGAUGACAACAGUGGAAACCAUUUCUUCAGCUUCUCUUUACAUUGUUUCUUUCUCUAGAAUCUGCAUGCAGGAUUUUCCCUCUGGAUUAAAUGACCAAUCUCUGAGACAGACACCCAUUUUCUUCUCCCAACCUUCCUCCCCAUCAUUCAUGCACUGAUUGUGUUUCUUCCACCAAAGGCUUUAAGUAAGUUGACUUGUGAAAACUUCAUCCCAGAGUGUCUACCUUACUAGUCCUUUAUAACUGCCUAUUGCAGGCAUUUUUUUCAGGUCAAAUGUGGGAUGUCUGCUACAUACCAAAAAGGAAACUGGGACUCAGAAAGGUUAGGAAAUGUGCCUGAAAACAUAUAAUAGACAUAUAUUGGACCAAGAUUAUAUCUUGCUAUGAAACCUGUCCUAAGGGCAUCUACCUCUUUCAGCAGAGGUAAAUUCAACUGCUUUGCCCUGAAUAUGAGAGAAUAGCACAUUCACCUUCCAUUAAUUCAUGCAACAAUGACGAGACUCCUCUUAAAGCCAGAUUAUAUAAAAUAAAUAGCUAAAAAGAUUUCGGCCUCUCCUCUGUGCCUUGUGUUUCAUUGUACUAACAUUUCUUUUUUUCAUAUUAUUUAUCCUCAAAUGUGAGUCACAUUUAAAAAAAGGCCAGUUGCUUAAAUCUGUUCAGAGACAGGGCAAGCCCAUUUCUAUGUGUGUGCUAACCCAAGCUGUUGCAUCUGACUUUUCUAAAGUUUAUUUCAACCUUUUCUCCAAAGUUUGGGGUCAUUCUCUUCCUUCAGGAGAGCUGUAUUUUUCAUCAAGCCAGAGCCCACCCACCUCACCUCUCCAUCUCUGGGGGUUCUAACUGCUGCCAUGUUGUUCUACUAGCCUUCUGGUUGAGCCAAGCCCAGGCAUUUCCUUCUAACAAGGUUCUCUGGGCUUCCUCUCCCCAUUUAGUGAGCCCUUUCCAGACCAGUUCCCAUGGGAACAGUGGUCCACAUUGCCGAGACACCAGCUGAGGGGAAGGAAGCCUUCUGUGGCCAGAGUAUCAAGAUCUCUCCAUGAAAAAUCAUCAGGACACAGAGUGGGCUGAGGCUCAACAUUCUGAGCUCCCUCUGCCUUUUCCUAACCCCAUGGCUACCAAGCCUGCUACACAUUAAUAUCACCUAAAGGGAGUUGGAUUCUAUUAGUCAGAAGUGGGACCCAGGGAUUGGCAAUUUUUUGUGAUUUUUAUCACAAAAUUUUAGGUAAUUUAGGUAAUUCUAAUGUUUAGCCAAGUCUGGAAACCACUGUUACAACCAAUUAGCAAUCCUACCAAAAUAUCCUGCAACCUAAGAAAUUUCUGGUUUCAUUUAUCAAACAAGGCCUCCCACUGAUGAAAGUUAGGGCCAGGCAAAAUGAUCCCAUUGCAAAAUCCAAUGCCUUUGUCUUUUCGCGCAUUCACUUGCUCACAGCUGAUUAUCAAGGACCUAUCAUGAGUCAGAUGAUAUUUUUGGGUAACAGUUCAUCAAAGGACAAUAGUUCUUGGUGAGAAGACAUCUACAAGAGCCCUCUGUAUAGGUCCUGCUCACUCUGGACAAUGUAAACCUAGCUCUAAUGCUCCGUGUAGACACCCAAGUAUUGACAAGUGAGAGUACUCAGGGAAUUUGGAUUUUAGAUGUCACACGUGGAGUGGGGGAUAGGAGUAGAUGAAACAGUUGGUGAUCUCGUGGAGGUUCAUGGACGCUUAUAGUAUUAUAAAAGUAAAGGUAUAUAACCAUGCAUGGCGAUGAUGACGAUGUAUCAUGAACAGAAAAUUAUGACUAAUCCAAUUCUGGUCAACUAUGAUCUAUUAGGAAAAAACAAUCAUUAUUUUUCUAACAAUUAUGAAAGGUUCUGUUGGGAAUCAUUGGAUCCAGACUUUAGAAUGAGAACUAAGGGCAAUUUAUUCUAUGUCCUUGUAUAUUUUGCAUUACAAAGGCUAUGUGGUGAUAGUUCUAGAGUCACUUUCCCAAAAGUUCUUAAAAGCUAUUAGCAUCACAUUUUUUUUCAGUAGAAAAUAAGUUAGAAAAAAGUAGGAUGUCAAACAAAUGCAUUGUAUAAAAUUAGACAAUGCAGAAUGAAUAGAAUAACAGAAAAAGACCCUUAAUUCUAAUAUUUACUAUAGGCAUUGUUAAAAUGUUGCCGUAUGUAACUUCCUUUCUCUGUGUGAUUGUGUGUCUAUAUAAAGAUUCUAUGGCCUGUAUUUUUAAUUUAACACUCUAAGUAAUUUCCUCUAUCAUUAAAUAUUUUAAAAUAAUCUACAUCAACAAGUAUUUAAAUGUGUGUGCCAGUUAUGUAUCUGACACUAGGUUUG